rnacentral:rRNA from 1 species
AUGUCAUGGCAUAAUCUUUUGUCCUGUCUGGAUGCGAUUAGCCUGACAGAAGGCUGGGAUGUGUUUCGCUGGAACCUUACUACAUCAGGGUCUUUCACCAUAGACUCUAUGUAUUGUGCGCUCACACAUUCUGAGGUACUGGUGAGCAAUAAUAAGAAAAUUUGGAGGUUGAAGAUACCAGUAAAAGUUAAAGUCUUCAUGUGGUAUCUUCGUAGGGGAGUUGUGCUAAUCAAAGACAACCUCGCACGACGCAAUUGGCAAGGGAGUAAGAAGUGUUGUUUUUGUACUCAUGAUGAGACAAUCAGACACCUCUUUUUCCAAUGCAACUUUGCAUGUUCUACAUGGUCAGUCAUCCAAAUAGCGUCAAGUUUAUAUCCGCCCACAAGUGUUGCCAAUAUUUUUCGUCAUUGGUUGGACGGUAUUUCAAAUAGGUUCAAAACGCUAUUGAGGGUGGGAGCGUAUGCCUUAGUAUGGUCGCUUUGGCUAUGUAGAAAUGAUUUUGUUUUUAAUGACAAAAAUGCUUCUCCUUUGCAGGCUAUUUUCCAUUGUACGCACUCGCUUCGUACGUGGUCUAUGCUACAAUGA